UAUGUGUGUGUGUGUGUGUGUGUGUGUGUGUAUGAAAAUAAAGAAUUAGCAAGUUAAGGAAGCGUUCGUCAUUCCAGCAUUAGGGCCCAUCUUUGGAGGAAGACUGUGGUUCUGAAUUGUAUUAGUGCCACUGGAAACAGUCUCUUGGUGUAAGAGUUUGACCAUGUUGAUAUGAUAGAGGGAUGCAAUAGUAGAAUGGACAGUGAAAAAUUAAGGAAAAAUUAUUAUGUUUUUUUUUUUAGCAUU